rnacentral:rRNA from 1 species
GACGAACGCUGGCGGCGUGCUUAACACAUGCAAGUCGAACGGAAAGGCCCUGCUUUUGUGGGGUGCUCGAGUGGCGAACGGGUGAGUAACACGUGAGUAACCUGCCCUUGACUUUGGGAUAACUUCAGGAAACUGGGGCUAAUACCGGAUAGGAGCUCCUGCUGCAUGGUGGGGGUUGGAAAGUUUCGGCGGUUGGGGAUGGACUCGCGGCUUAUCAGCUUGUUGGUGGGGUAGUGGCUUACCAAGGCUUUGACGGGUAGCCGGCCUGAGAGGGUAACCGGAGACAUUGGGACUGAGAUACGGGCAAGACUCCGACCGGAGGCAGGAGUGGGGAAUAUUGCACCAUGGGCGGAAGCCUGAUGCAGAAACGCCGCGUGCGGGAUGACGGCCUUCGGGUUGUAAACCGCUUUCGCCUGUGACGAAGCGUGAGUGACGGUAAUGGGUAAAGAAGCACCGGCUAACUACGUG